rnacentral:rRNA from 1 species
UACGAAGGGUGCUAGCGUUGUUCGGAAUCACUGGGCGUAAAGCGCGCGUAGGCGGCGAACCAAGUCAGGGGUGAAAUCCCACAGCUUAACUGUGGAACUGCCUUUGAAACUGGUUUGCUAGAGUACUGGAGGGGAGUGGGGAAUUCCUAAUGUAGAGGUGAAAUUCGUAGAUAUUAGGAGGAACACCGGUGGCGAAGGCGCCACUCUGGACAGUAACUGACGCUGAGGCGCGAAAGCGUGGGGAUCAAACAGG